rfam:Schistosoma mansoni, Puerto Rico, WGS project CABG01000000 data, contig: 0010
AUCCAGCUGACGAGUCUCGAAGAGGUCGAAACGCGUGUCCUGGAU